UUCUCGUAUAGUAUACACGGAAUUCGAAUAUUUGAAUUCAUCGUAAAAAAUCAACUUAUAUUUAACGUUUCGUACAAAUUGGAACAUAAACACCGAAGUUAAUCACGAACGCAUAACCCAUAGAGGGGGGCUAAGAGAUGAUGAAGCAGAGGUCGGAGGGAGCUGGAAUGUUUGGGUUCCGUGCUGGGCUCAGAUAUAUUCCUCAGUUCACGCUUCGAAUUGGGACUUACUUUUGGAGAGGCACGAAUAGGAACCAGCAAGCAGUUCAGUUUCCGCAGCAUUGGAAGCAUCUAUCCAAAGUUUUUCGUAUGACUCGUUAAUUGCGGCGAAUAUAAGAUUCUAAACGUGGGCACGUUGGACUUAUCUUUUGGUUUUUCUAAUUUA